CCUUGGAAGUAAAAGUCGUAACAAGGUCUCCGUUGGUGAACCAGCGGAGGGAUCAUUACUGAGUUUACGCUCUAUAACCCUUUGUGAACAUACCUAUAACUGUUGCUUCGGCGGGUAGGGUCUCCGUGACCCUCCCGGCCUCCCGCCCCCGGGCGGGUCGGCGCCCGCCGGAGGAUAACCAAACUCUGAUUUAACGACGUUUCUUCUGAGUGGUACAAGCAAAUAAUCAAAACUUUUAACAACGGAUCUCUUGGUUCUGGCAUCGAUGAAGAACGCAGCGAAAUGCGAUAAGUAAUGUGAAUUGCAGAAUUCAGUGAAUCAUCGAAUCUUUGAACGCACAUUGCGCCCGCCAGCAUUCUGGCGGGCAUGCCUGUUCGAGCGUCAUUUCAACCCUCAAGCUCUGCUUGGUGUUGGGGCCCUACAGCUGAUGUAGGCCCUCAAAGGUAGUGGCGGACCCUCCCGGAGCCUCCUUUGCGUAGUAACUUUACGUCUCGCACUGGGAUCCGGAGGGACUCUUGCCGUAAAACCCCCAAUUUUCCAAAGGUUGACCUCGGAUCAGGUAGGAAUACCCGCUGAACUUAAGCAUAUCAAUA
rnacentral:rRNA from 1 species